UAUGUACUGUUGUCUAUAUCCAUAGAUAACGGUUUUUGAAAAACCGUUAUCUUUUCGCGUUAUCUAUUAGUUGCAUACAUAACGGUAUUACAAAACCGUUAAGCCACCGUUAUCUAUGACCAUCUUUUAUAACGGUUUAUUCAUAACGUUAAAGAACCGUUAUGUAUAAGAGUCAUUUACAACGGUUUUGGAACCGUUAUGUUUGAGCGUAUCUAAAAACUGUUGUGUAUAAUUUUUUUUAUUAAUUUUUUUAAAAUUAUAGUAUUAUAUUAUAUUAUAUUAGAUUAAAAAAUAACAUAUAAAUUCUUUAUCCUAAAAUCUGAAUUUAUUUCUAGAUAUAGACUUUGAAAAAUAAAAAAAUCAUAACAUUUUUUUGUUUUAUCAUUAAGUAACACUUAUAUAAAAUCUAAAUUAGAAAUCUAAAUACCAAAAUUGAAUAUUAAAACUGAAAAAAAGAAAAAAAAAAGAUUUUAUUUAGGAAAUUUAGAAACUAGAAGCCCUAGUUUUCUUCAUCUCUCACAUCUAAUCUCCCUGCCUCCUCCUGCGUCCUCCCUGUCUCUCUCGACUCUCUCUCUCCCCUCUCGACUCCGCCGCCGGCGCCGCUGCCCCGCGCCGGCCCGUCGCUGCCCACCCUUGUCGCUGCGUCGCGCCGCUGCCGCCCACCCUCGUCUCCCUCUUAAUCUCCUUUCUCUCUGACUUAAAUGCACGCACACCACACCGCGCCUGAAAUCCUAGAUCUAUAAUCUACAGCCACCUCCCUACCGAUUCCCGUCGACCGCACGGCGGGAAGGCCGCCGCCUCCGAGCGCAGCCCAAAGCCCCAUCUUCUCUCCAUACUCCGGCGACAACAGCGGCUCCUUGCCGCCGCCGUGCCCUAGCUUCAAUCCGCCGCUGAACUCCCUCUUCCGGCCGCACCACCUGUCCGACCACCACAGCACCAGCCCAGCCGCCUUCGACGCAGCGCAACACCACCGCGACCCACUCCAGAACCGCUGCCCCCCACCAUCUCCCGGCAUCUACACAAGGCGGCUUUCGUGCGCCACCCAUCGUUCCUAUCAUGAACGCCGAGGAAGAGCCACCAGUCGGCGCGAUUUACACCAUACCAGCAGCGCCAAACACCUCCUGCCACCGUCUCCCGCCGCCCAGUCACCUUCGCCCUUUUCCUGUCACCACCGUCAGUUUCCAGACACUGCCGCGCGGCCCCAGCUCCAAUCUCAACCCCGUUGUCUGCCGGAGUGAGCCCUGCCCUCCUCCACCGUUCAGGGAAGUUUAUUUCUUCAUUUUUGUGUUGUUCCAAUCAGGACUUGAUUUUUUGCUAAAUUAGGGCUCAAAUCUAGAAAGAGGCUUCCCCAAAUUGAUCUAUAAAAGGAUUUGAACAUAUUGACUCUAUUAAGUCCAGAUUUUUAGAUAUAUUACACUAUUAAAGACUAAGAGAUGAACUAAUUCGAUGCUAUAUGGGAUAAAUGAAAUUUUCUUGCUACAAACACUGGAAAAGUAAUAGUGACAGAUUCUGUAUGUUUAUCAAUGUGGAUUGUUGCUGGUUAAUAGUUUAGAAGUAUAAUCAUCUUCCUUAUAGGAGAUUGUAGUGAUUGCUUUUACAGUGUGAAGUUUCUAUUGUGAAGGGGAUAAAAUGUAGUGCAUGUAGCAGUUAUAACAAUAGCUUCCUAUUGUUUGAGUCUUGCAUUGUUCAUUUGAUAUGGUUUAUAUGUGAUCCUGUAUCAGGUUAGUUAGUUCGAGUUGUGAGGGCUGUAGGGAUAGUGACAUAUUUUGCGAUGGGAUACUUCCUAAUGAGGAGCUUUAUUAGAAAUCUGCAUAAGUAAUCGAGAAAGAAGUAACAAGUUUGGAGGAAUCUCUGAUCUUGAACAGGAACUUGGUCAAUUGUGUGGUUGACUCGUAUACAUUUUUUGCCAGACAAAGAAGGUUGAUCUUUUUCUUAAAAAAAAGUACUUACUAGUUUAUUUGUGCUGGAGGACUCAGUAAUGAUUUCUUUGAAUUUGAUUCAACAAUGCUUCCUUAAAAAACAUCAUUUGACUAGCCUUUCUUUUACUACAAUAUUUACAACAGAAAUUGAGUUUGACUACAACACAAUAUCUAGCAGAAUCAGGGAGCUCGCUUUUCUAAAUCCUGAGGUUACAAUUGCUCUUGAGAAGCAGGAUGUGGACCCAGAGAAGACGGUGCAUAAUGAGUACAGCUAUGCUGGAGGAUUAAUUGAAUAUGUGAAGUGGCUUAAUACUGAUAAGAAACCUUUGCAUGAAGUUGUGGGAUUCAGAAAAGAAGUAGAGGGGAUAUCAAUUGAUAUUGCACUUCAAUGGUGUUCGGAUUCUUAUUCAGAUACAUUGUUAGGAUAUGCUAACAGCAUUAGAACAGUUGAUGGUGGCACCCACAUUGAUGGUGUCAAAGCUUCAUUAACAAGAACCCUCAACAAUCUUGCAAAGAAGUCUAAAGUCAUUAAGGAAAAAGAUAUUACUUUAAGUGGCGAACAUGUAAGAGAGGGGCUGACUUGUGUGAAUAGAAUUAUGCUAAGUAAUUGAUGUUUCAGUUAUUCCCUUCUUCAUUCCCUCGGACUAUAUUCAACCAUACGAUAUAUAUAUAACGUUGUGAGAGAGAGCAGAGUUGAAAUAUCUCUUUCAUAUUUCUUUUAUUUAAGAAGCUCGGGUUGGCUAUGUUUUGCAGGUGAACUCGCUCGUGUUGGUGCAGGUUCAUUAUUGUGAUUGAGUUUAUCAUCUUGGCGGAUCAAGUAGAUGGGAGUCGAUGAGCUAUGAGGACUACUACAAACGAGAAGGCUGAAGCAGAGAACGUCGUUUCAAAUGUCUAGCAAGUUGCUCGCAUUUGUAAUAUUUUUUAAUUAAACAUCUAGCUAAAUAGAAUAUAUGUGAAGUUUUCAUUAUAUUUGGAUGAUAAUGUAUGAAUAUUUUGGAUGAUAUAUAAUAUUGUUAUUGUUGAUUU